CGUUUCUUAGAGUGGUUAGCGUGCCAGUCUUAUACUCUUUGGUCCUAUGUGAUUAAAUUGUAUGCAGAGGCAUCUGGAAGUCGCGGGUUCAAGUCCCGCCAGAAAUAG